AAUUUUUUUUUCUAUGUGAAAAUAUCCAUUGCUGUAAACUGCAGCAUGUCAUAAGUACAAGUCUAUGAACCUCAUGCUGAGUUGCUGACAGAUUAUGUAAAUUCGUCUCUAUGUUCUCAUUUUAGUAUACCCUUUUAUAAACUAGUUUGGAAGUACUAAUAACUAGCCAAGUGAAAAACCGCUGUAGUUGGUGAACUUGUUGGCUACUUCAAGGAAGCCAGAUUUCAUUACUUUUAGCCUUCCCUUUCAAAUGAGCUUCCUGCUGCUUAUUUAAAAUCAUUACUUGAGUUUUGUUAUCUUGAUGCAUCGGCUGACUAAUCUGAUACAGAGUACUUUGUUAUGGUGGAUAAACUUUACACGAGUCCCUACAGAGACAGAUUAUGAUAGCAGAUGAGUUGUUCUUGUGUAGCAUUGUUUAUAUUGUCCUGGCACACUUUUCUGUUUGUGUAUGUCGCAAACAAUGGCUUGUGAAAAGCACUACUAUUUUUGUGACUCUUAAUUCUUAUGUACCAUUCUUCUGCCUUCAUUUUUCCCAUGUAGGAUGGCUAGAUUUGUGUUCUACCAUUUCUGCAUAUAGAUAUCUGAAAAAUGUAUGGUCAUAUAUCCUAUUUUAACUUGCCUAAGGAAUUUACACAUGUUGCAGUGAACGAAGCUUGUACAGCCAGUCCUGUGAACAAUAUUGAGUUAUCAACCCGUGCAUCAGCACAAGCAAAAAAUGGCAAGAGUGCUGUGAAGAAUAGGUUAGCAAGUAAAUCAUCUAAUUCAGGACGGGAGGUUGCUUUAGCAGGCAAUAACAAUCUUGUGAUAAGGUUCUCAGAUGAGGAUAGUGGCAGGGGGACUGAAGAUUAUACUAAAAUGAAGGAUUUGAGAUCUAAGAUCAGGAAAACUGGACCAGACGGCAAUAGAAAGUUGCUUUCCCAUACAUCAAUACCCAAGACGUCGCAACAUGCUGGAGCUAAUGUUCGCAACAUAAUUCGCCACAAACCAACUCUAAGCCGGACAUUUGUCUCACCAGCAAGCAAUAUCGUGAGAGGAAUUAAAUCCGGAGCUGGGACAGCUCAGACUGGACAAUUAUCACGAGAUAGAAGUUUCAGCAAUAGCAACAUAAGUACUCAAGGGAAUACUUUUGAACUUGGCCUAGGCUUGAACCAAGCUAAACUUCAUGACUUGAGGCAGCAGAUUGCUAUGCGGGAAAAGGAAAUGAAGCUCAAGGCAGAUCAGCAAAAUAAGCUUUCUGCUUUAGUUUCUGCAAGAGAAAACAGUGCUAAGAACCUGUUGAAGAAUGCUCCCGGGAAGUCAAAAAUAUGUCCUGAUGCUGAACAAAAGGAACCUGUCAGAAAACGGCCAAAAGUGAGUGGGUCCUUUUCUAAUCAGUUAAAGGCAGAUUCUCAACAAGUAAAUGUGCCUCCAAAGUCUAUUCAACCAUCAAAUGGGGAGAAUGCUGGGGUUGAACAACAGGACAUUGUUAAUUGCAGCAAUAAUAGCAGUCCCAAGAGAAGAACAGAUUCAGAUGUCAGCAAAUCACUACAGCAACACAAUGCGCAGCAGUUCAUUUUAUCAGCAAAUCCAGUCAGUGAGUUGAACAAUGGAGAAUGCUUUUAUAAACCUAUUGUUGGGGGUGCUAUUUAAAGCUUAUUUCUCCUAUUUAGACUAACGUAUCGAGUAAUUGUAUCUUUGCAGGUACAAACAUCGAUAACAUGCAUGUAAUGGCUACAAACAUCGGUGUACAGGUGCCAUUUUGUGAUAAUAUUUUAGUGCAAAUAUUUUCUUACUACUAUUGUUCAAACUUUUGGUAUUUCUUGUAUAAUAUCCCAAGUGAAAUCCGAUAGGCACUUUUCAAUACCACCAUUGUUUUACUUCAUGCCUUUUCUGUGGACCACAUUUUGACUUCGGUGUUGUUCGUCGACUUAAAAAACUGUCUGAUGUGAACCUAUGAUUCAACUUGAUAUUUGAACUGUGCUCAACAUCUAAUUAGUUGUACCCAAGUUUAAGCAUUUUUUUAGGUUGCGGCUCAAGUAUUUGACAAUUGACAUCCUUCUGCGAUUCAGAAUACUCUUGAUUUUGUGCAAUUAUUCUCUUAAUUGCAGUUCCCUUUUACAGGAAAUUGUGGAUAAUGAUCAUCUGCUUAAAAUCAGUCACCCCCUUGGUUCUUCAAAGAUGGCGUUGAGUGAAAAACAUACGUUCCACAAGCAAAGUGCUUCUGGUCACAACGUUGUGUCCCCCGUUGUAGAAAACAUGUGCCAGGUAUGCUUAUCAGUAUACUAAUGUUUCUCAUAUAGAAGAACGCAAUUGAAUUGGCUCUCGCUUAUGUCAUUUUUUCCUCUUUUUCCUUCGGGACUCCCAUAAUGUUUCAGGAGUCUUUGAUAAAUGCCAACUUCUCAAGUUAUUUGGGAAAUGUCUCAGAGAAUUGUAACAGAAACUUGUGCUGCUUAGUUGAAAUGGAGGAGAAAUUGGACAAGGAGUUGGAAGAAGCACAAGGACUGAAAUAUAGAUGUGAAAUUGAAGAAAGAAAUGCACUCAGAGCUUAUAGGAGAGCUCAAAGGGCCUUGAUUGAGGCUACUGCUAGAUGUACCAGACUUUAUCGCAAAAGGGAACUGCAUUCUUCCCAAUUUGGAUCACUGAUCAUGAAUGAUCCCAGUUUGUUAUUGUCUGCUGGGGAGCAUGACCAAUGUGGAAUGGGUUCAAGUCCUGCACAAAAGGCAUGUCAAAACAUACUUCCAGUACCUUCAUCAAUUCAUCAGAAGCAGCUGUUGGAUGGGCUGAAUUUGAGGUCAGAACCUUGCAGUGAGCCAGAGUUAAGCACGUCGGAGCCACUGAAUCAUGACUUCGUGAACACUGCAAGUCGACAGAGCUCUCCUACAAAAGAUCCAAAUGUUUCGUCAGAUGAAGAUGAGGAGGUGUUUCCAACGGAGCAUGACGUUGACCAAUGCAGCAACAUGCAACCAACAUCACAUACUUCCUGUGGACAGCUAAAUGAUUUGGAUCGUCCUUCAGAGAAAGGCUUUUCCUUAAAUGACUCCCAAGACCCAUUGCUUCUUGAGGCAUCGUUGAGGUCUAAACUCUAUGCUCGGUACGGAGUGAGAUCCUUACCAAAGACUACUGUUUCAUCACAUUUAGAGUCUGCAGAUGAAGUAGGAACCGAAAACGACAAUGAGAGUGAAAGAACUCAGAUGAGCAACAUCAGUCUUCCUGUAUCAGCUGCUGAAAGACGGCAAGAAUGCGAUCUCGAAGGUAACAGUUCUCCAAAAAUUGACAGCUGAUUCAUGACAUUUAUAUUCUGUCAGAUUUUUGCUGCACUAACCUGUUUGUCGUGUUCUUAAACAAUCUGUUUGUGGAACUCCUGUAUAUACCCACUUUAAGAAAACAUAGCAUUUUCCUUUCUCUGUGUCCUGUGUAACUAGUAACUACGUGGUUUCCUUCUUAAACCAGGUGAGGAUAAUCCAGCAAGAGUUAUGUCAGAGCCACCUGCCCAGGAUAUGAACCUUGAAACUCAUUCCACUACUAAUUCUGGUCAAAUACAGUACACUAGCCGAGGCUAUCAGUUGACUCCUAACAUGUUGUCAACCCCUACAGUAUGGAGAAGUGUGUUCGAGCGUUUGAAAGUUAUGUCCUCCAGAACUUUGUUACCUGUGAAAGAUAUAAACAAUCAGCAAAGCGACAUGGAAUUGAAGUAUGUUGAAGAUGAUAAUGAUGUUGAAUCUAGCGAAAUUCAGUACAGCAAUUUAACUGCGAGUUCAAUGGAGGAAAGCACUAAGGAUAUAUGUGAUAUGGAAAUUGGAUCCUUUAGCAGCAAUGCUGGAGUUGAUCCAUUCUGGCCUCUUUGUAUGUAUGAACUUAGAGGAAAAUGCAACAACAGUGAUUGUCCCUGGCAACAUGUUGCAGUUUUCUCUGCUGGCAUUAGAAAAAAGAAUCAGCAUGAUGGUUCUCAUGAUCCUGGUAAGGAAGUACUUUAAAAAACUUCUGAUUUCAACUAAAUUUAAUCUGUCUCUAAGCCUAAAAUUUGGUUGUGCAGAUUGUUCUCCAGGAUUACGAAGUGAAAGGACAGUAGCUGAACAUCCAAUUAGUGGUGGUAUAUUGUAUUUGCCAACUUAUUCGGUUGGUCCAGAUGUCAUUAAAGCUCGUACACAUACAUAUGAACCCAGUGUAGCAUGGAAACAUGGAAAAUGCUGGCGCUGGCAGAAAAGCUUCAGUGCUUACUUAGCUAUCUUCAUUUUGCUCGUCAACGAUUUGCCUGCAAAUGAGCCUUUUUCAUGUGGCAAUGAAGGCCGAAUGGAGGUGCACGGGAGUUGGAAUGAGCAGUUGUCUUGCUUCCACAGUAGAACUGGACUAGCGGUUUGUUAAGUCAAAUACUUUCGCUUCAAUUGAACUGUUUCUUGUACUGCCGUAUCUGAUUGGUGCCUCACAUGGGACUACAUGCUUAAAUUUAUUGAUGUUUUUGCAAAUUUCUUGCCCUGGUUUGCAUGUUUUGGAUUGCAGUGUGAAUACACUGUUGCUGCAUGUUGUGAAGAUCGGUUCAGUGUUCCCUUGUUAGCAAUUUUCUCCUAGAUAAAUUUGUUACAGCGGGGCUUCAUCUGCUCUUUUUGUUUUCUUACUUGUUAGGAAUCAUGAAUCAUGUUAGUUUAAUUUACGAACUGGAUACAUGAGCUGAUCAAAUUCAACCUAUUUUUUACCUAGAAUUAUGAGAAUCAAGUGAUACCUAGUAUCAUGCAAGCCCUGGAAAUGUCCCUUGCCCCUCUCUUCCAGGAGGUUAACAAAGUAGAGAAUAUGACGAAGGUAAAUGCUAAUGUGUCAUAUUUUCUGUCGUCCAAACUUCCACUGAUUUCAAAUCUUCUUCUGCAGUCUCUUUCUAUGCUGUCAAUGGCUAUUGAAUCUGAUCCUACAUCUGAAGUCGUGUGGAUAACGUAUCUCCUCGUGUACUAUAGUAACAUCAAGUCAAUUGAGAAGAAUGACAUGUUCUCCUAUGCGGUACGUGCUUUAAGUGAAGGGACUUAGCAUGCUUAAAAUUCUGAGGUUGUCACGUGAGGCAUGCCAUCAUUUAUUUUAUCUAUGAUAAAGAGGAAAAUUUGGAACUGGUUAGAAAGAUGCACAGAGAGUUACGGUGUGGACAGUUGAUGCCUGUAGUACAAGCUAUUUUUGGGAAUCGUAGUACAAUGUUAAUUGCUCUGCUGAUCAAAUUCACUGUCCGUUUUGCAUAUUAAUUAAGCGAUAUCUAUAUGCUGCUGGAGUUUUCUGCCCUUUCAGAUAGAUAUGAACUUAUGUAAAUAGAUUCUGUCAGGUCCCUUAAACAGUAUGGAUAACAAUUCUUUGAAUGGUCAUAACGUCUAGGACUGUGAAGUUAGCACCUCAGUAAUUUGGUAGGCCUAAAUUAGUACUGUUGUGCAAUUGUGAUUAUCUGGGAUUCUGCAUCUGUAAAAGUUUCCUGUGGGUUUUGUCGUUCUGUUGAACCUGGGAUCUUUUGCGUCUCUUAAAAAGACAGGAAGUAGUAUAAGAUGUCACUACUUCCUGCAAUAGAAGUAGUGUAGGUAAGUAGUUGAAACUUGCUGGAAUUGAAUCCCUUAUUAUUUUGAGAUGUUACGUGGCGGAAGAUUUGUUCAUUACAGGUAGAAAAUUUGUUCUUGCCUGAGUUGUAGGUUGCCUAUCUGCAUAUGCCUGCUCCUCGGUUAUAUAUGUUUUUCCCUUCGUUCCUCUUCGCGGUACCUAAUCGUUUUGGAAUGCAAAAUUUUGCUUGGAAACCUUUUUCCAUGAUCUUCAGGUAAAAUAUAAUGCUGGAUCGUAUGGACUUUGGCUCAUGUACAUCAACAGCAGAAGCAUCUGAAGGAUCGGUUAGGUGCAUAUAAUGAAGCAAUCACGGUGCUUUGCCAGAUCGAGUUGACUCUCGAGAAAAAGAAAUGCACAGUGCAUGCAUCUUAUACCUGUUUUUGCAGAUGCUGGAAUGUUUCUGCAUGUCUGGAAAUAUUGAUAUGGCAGUGCAGAAAAUAUCUGGAUUCUUCAGUUUGACAACUUACUCUGAUGAACCUCGUUCUGCAUUGCUCUCUGAUAUCCUCAAAUGCCUGACAAUUUCUGACAAAUAUAUGUUCUGGAUUUGUUGUGUGUACUUAGUUAUUUACAGGAAGUUACCCGUUCCCGUGCUUCAGCAGUUUGAGUGUGAGAAAGAUCUCUCUGCAAUUGAGUGGUCACCUGUUGAUUUAAAGGACGAUGAGAAGCAUAGAACCGUCGGGCUAGUUGAAAUCAUGUUAGAUUCUGCACUGCAGUUGUUUUCCAACAAAGAAUCACUGGAGAGUGAAGCCAACAAUAGGGGAGCUCAGUGUUUUGCCCUCAAUCACAUACGGUGUAUGAUGGCACUUGGUAGGUUAGUAUGUUGUUGCACAUUAGUGGAUAAAUAUUUGACUGUGCUUCCACAGUGCUUGGAGUUGGUACUCGUAGCGGCACGAAGCCAAGCUGCUGAUGUUGAUAGUUUAAGGUUCGAUUGGUUCGAGAAUGCCCUCGCCAACUGGCCGAAAGAAGUGCCUGGAAUCCUUGGUUUAUGGAAUCAGUAUGUUGAAUUUGCACGUGAGAGGCGAGGACCUGAUCUUGCUAAGGAACUGCUUGUUUGUUGGUUCAACUCCAUAUCAGAACUUAGAUAUAGGGACAGCACUCCAGUUGGAUCGUUGGAGUUGGCAUCAGUUUCAAAUCCAGAAUUUCUGAUGCCUUAUUCUAAUAAAAUGGACAUAAUGUUUGGAUUCCUCAACGUCUGCCUCGCUAAAAUGUUGCAAAAUGAUCGUACUGGGGCACUUGCUGCCAUCGACAGUGCCCCCGACAGGGCUUUGAAGAGUGCAACCCCAUUCUUUUUUAAACAUUGCUUGGUUGAGCAUGCUACAUGCUUGCUUAACCAUGAACAUGGGCGAACAAAGUAUGCUCCUGUCAAGGACCGGCUGAAGAUUUUGAAAGGUUACUUGGAUGAUUCUGGAGCUCCGUUUGUAUCUGAACCGUUGUCCAGGCGGUUCAUCAAGAAUGUUGGCAAGCCAAGAGUUGAGCAGCUUAUCAGUAACAUACUGAGUCCAGUCUCAUCUGUGUUUUCGCCCGUAAACUUGGUACUCAAGGCGUGGUAUGGUCCACCCUUUGUACUGGAGAAUAUAGUCCAUGCAAUGGAGUUGGUUGACUUUGUUGAAGCGAUAUUGGAGAUAGUGCCGUCUAAUUACCCAUUGGCAUUCUGUCUGUAAGCUGCUCAGAGCAGGCUUCUUCAGAAUUUCAGAUGGAAUGUCAGAUAGUGUACUAUUCUGGUCGAGCUCAAUGUUGGCGGAUACGGUAUUUCAAGCUGUCCCAGUGGCACCUGAAUAUGUUUGGGUUGAGGCGGCGGAGAUAUUGUUAGAAACUAAUGGCGCUGCUGAUUUACUUUCAGAGAGGUUUUACAAGAGAGCUCUGUCAGUGUAUCCAUUUUCGAAGAAGCUUUAGUGUGGGUGUAGAUUUGUGAAUGAAUGAACUCGAUAAUAAUUUGUAUGUAUAUGCCUUCUUUAUAUAGAAGAGGAGGAGGUCUGAGUUAUAAGUCUAUAAGUUAAAGUUUUAUUAGAAUUAGGAUUAUAAUACUAUUCACAUUAAAAAAGGAAAAAUUAUGUUGAAAAAAUUAACUUAAUAAUACUAAAAUUCUAAUACAAAUCUUAAAUUCAUUUAGAGACAAAUCUUAAAUCUUAAUAUAUAAUUCAUUUUAAAUUUUGUUUUGUCAUUUUUUUUCUGAUGAAAUGUUUAUCCAAUUUAACAUGUUUUGCACGAUCAUAAUGAGCUGGAUUUCUUAUUAUGUUUAAUACUGCCUGGCUAUCACAAUAGUUUUACAGGUUGAUUCCCUUCCAACUUCAAUUCUUCGAGGAUGUGUUUUAGUCAAAUUUUCUCACAUAUGCCUUUAGCUACUGCCCUGUACUCAGCUUUAGCGUUUCUCCUUGAGACCACUUCUUGUUUUUUGCAUCUCCAAGUCACUAGAUUGCCCCAUACAUAGGUGCAAAAUGUUGAUGUUGAUAUUCGAUCUGUUAAAUCUCCAGCUCAACUAGAAUCUAUAUACACAGUGAUUCCUCGUUGUGUGUUUUUCUGGAAAUAAAGGCCCAACCCGGGUGUACCUUUUAAGUGCCUUAUAAUUCUCAUUACAGCCGCGAGAUGUUCCUCGUUAGGCUGAUGCAUAUGUUGACUAACAAUACUCACUAUGAAUGAGAUGUAUGGACGAGUAUGUGCCAAGUAUAUUAACUUACCAACCAGACGUUGGUAGCUCUCUACCUUUCCACCAGAGCUGGAUUGGGGUUAUGAGUGAAUUUCAGAUUUGUUUCCAUUGGAGUACUUGUUGGUUUACAGCCAGUCAUUCCAGUUUCCUUAAUAAAUUUAGAACGUAUUUGCGUUGUGAUAGAACUAGAUCUGUACUCGAUCUAGCCACUUCAAUGCCUAGGAAAUAUCAUAAGUUUCCAAUGUCCUUUAUCUCGAAUUCAGAUGCAAGUUUGAACUUCAGCCUCUGAAUCUCUGGUUCAUCGUUUCUAGUGAUGACAAUGUCAUCCACGUAAACAAUUAAAAUGGCAAUUUUUCCAGUUUGUCCAUGUUGAACAAACAUGGUAUGAUCAGUCUGACAUUGAUGGUAGCCACAUCCCUUUACUGCUUGAGAGAAUUGUUCAAACCAUACCCUUGGAGAUUUUUUCAGUCCAUACAAGGCUUUCUUGACCUUACAUAUUUUCAUGGUUCAACUUGAACUCCUGCUGGAACUUUCAUGAAAAUUUCCUCACUUAGAUCACCAUUUAGGAACGUGUUUUUCACGUCUAAUUGGUAGAAAGACCAAUCUAGGUUUACUGCCAAGCUGAGAAGGACCUAUACUGUCUUUAGUUUUGCUACUAGGACAAAAUUCUCCUCAUAGUCCACUCUAUAUGAUUGAGUGAACCCACGAGUGACUAGCCUUGCUUUAUAUCGCUCUAUACUUCCAUCUGAAGCAUACUUGAGAGUGAAAAUCCACUUGUAGUCAAUAGUGGAUUUAUUUGGUGGAAGUUGUACCAUCUCCCAUGUGCCAUUUUUCUCUAGUGCUCUAAUUUCCUCCAUCACGACAUGUCUCCAGUGUGGUACUUGCAUUGCUUCUUCGAUAGAUUUUGGUAUCUCAGUGGAAUCUACACUGCUUACGAAGGAUUGAUACUUGGCACUGAGGUUUUCAUACGUCACCCAUAUUUUAAUCGAAUGUUGAGUGCAAGUACGAGUUCCUUUUCUUUGAGCAAUAGGCAGAUCCAUUGAACUAUUAGGGUCUUUAUUGCCUGCUUCACUACUUGUUGAAGUGUCAGUGUCAAUGUGAGCUUCCUGAGAGACAGGUUGCUCGUCAGAUUAUGCGCAAUUUGAAAGUUGUGUGUCAGGUGUCUUCUUCCUCCGUUGAUACACCAGGAGAAGUUUAUUUGUAUUGUCAUUAGUGCAUUGAGUACCUGUGGGAGUUGCUAUAGGGCUAGAAACUAUUAUGAGAACUGGCAGGGGCUCUAAUGAUAUGAUAUUUCUAAAGGAAGGCUGCUCAAAAUUCUUCCCAUGAGGCUGUUUAGGAAUAGUAGGGCUGAAAUUUAAAAAACUUGACAUCUUUGGAGUGAUAUAUUUUCUUGUGGAGGGGCGAGUGGCACUUGUAACCACUCUGCUUUGAAUAGUACCUGACGAAGACACAAAAAGGGGGGUACGAGAUAACCAUAACCGAUGCCCCAGGAGGGUGCCAAGUAAUUGAUACUUUAUCUUGAAAAAUCAACUGCCCAAAACCCGAAUGAACCUUAAAAAAGUAUAAAUAUUCAAAACUAAGGAAUAAAAAUAUAAAAAUAAGUCUCGUCGUGACCUUUUCUUGAAUUCUCAAAACUUCUGUCGCUCCACCCUUUGGUUAGGUAUUGGAGCAACACUACCUGUUGAUAAAUCGCUAACUUUAGGUCUUUUUCAAAUUGAUUUUAUUUUGAAUUCAAAAUAAUCUCACGCCUGUGUAUCGAGGCAAUAGUCGCUUCAAUAGGCCUUUAGGACCCUGGCCUGUAAAGGGCCCUUUAUGAGACUCUAAAAUAUCUUUUAUACAGUGACCAAUGCCCUCAAAAUAGUCUUGUUAUUGCUUCGACUCAUAUUCCGCAAAAAGUGGAUCUUUCCUUUACGCAGGGACCAGGAGAUUGGAUCUAGCUGUACGAAGAUAGAAUAGAACUAGAAUCUGUGUAUUCGGCUCAAUCUUAGUAAAAGAUUUCUGUAGAUCCUAGGGAAUUGUAUUGUGCUGUAGCAAAACUUAUUGCAAAAGAGGGCAAGUCGGCCACAUUAAAAUUACCUUCGGGUGAGGUGCGUGGAACUUCCAAUUAUGAAUAUAGUAUGAAUAGAAAGUUAAAGCUCUGUAAGAAUAGCUCUAGGAUCUAAUUUAGAGCGAACAGAAGGGGCUACAUGGACAUAAGUUGUGCAACCAAUGAUUUUUGGUGGAAGGUCGGAGGAGAUAGCAUGGCUGUGAGGGAAAGUAGCUAGGAGGAAAUUUCAAGGUGUGUCGAAUUUGAGAGGCCUACUAGGUAGUCGGUUGAUGAGGUAUGUAGCGGUUAGCAUUGCUUCUCCCCAUAAAUGUUUGGGAGCGGUGGAAGCAAAUAACAAUGCCCUAGCUACUUGAAGGAGGUGUCGAUUUUUCCGUUCGGCCACUUCGUUUUGUUGUGGGGUGUAAGGACAGGAACUACUGUGAGUGAUACCAUGAGUUGAGAGAUAACUACCAAGGGAGCUAUUAAAGUUAUCUCGGGCAUUUAUCGGUGUGAAGGAUGCGGAUUUGGGUUUCGAAUAUAAUGUAUAUCUGCUUGUGGAAGGUUUGGAAAAUAGGUAAGGUCUCAAUCUUAGACUUCAUGAGGUAGGUCCAAGUGAGACGAGUAUGAUCCUCGAUGAAUGUGACAAACCAGCGCUAACCAUUAAAGGUUUCGACAGAGCCGGGUCCCUAAAUGUCACUGUGGAUAAUAGAGAAGGGACUGGAGGGACGGUAGGGGGCACUAGGAUAGAUUGUUUUGAUUUGUUUUGUUAAUUGGCACACAUCACAGUGAUAGAAAUCCGAACUUUAAUUGAUAAAGAGCUUAGGGAACAACUUUUGUAAGUAAUGAAAACUAGAGUGACCUAACCAACAGUGCCAUAACAUGACUGGACAUUCUAACUUAUUCGAAUUUGAACUAGAACUUAGAUACUAAAUGCACUGACGCUGUAAUCAUAUCUUUUAAUGUUGUGUUGCUGACGGUGGUUGCCUUCAGAAGAUAUAGACCCGCACACACUUCAAACUGUCCAAUCAUCCUCUGAGUUCCUACUUCCUGUACAUGCAGUGCGAGAGACCAAAGGUUAGUUCACAAUUCAAAUCUUUUGAAUGUUGAUUGACUGAAAUUAGAUUGCAAUUAAGCUUUGGAACAUAUAUAUAAGGAAAUAAUUUAAUAUGAGAGGAGAGGUAGACUGUUCCAAUGCCCUCAACUGUGGCGACAGAGCCAUCGAAAAUUCGAGCACCUGUCUUGCCUGGGUAGGGUUGGAUGUUACGAAGAAAGGUUUUUGAUCCAGUCAUAUGUUCAGGUGCCCCUGAGUCGAGUAUCCGGUUGUUCUGGAACUGGUUUUGAGCAAGAAAGUAGUCGAAUUUUUAUCUUGGCUAGCAAUGAAGUCGGUUGAUGGUCUAUGUUUAGGAACACCUUGAGAGGAUGAUGAAGCCUUGAAUUGUGCCAUCAUCUGUUGGAGAAUAAGAAUCUGGUCUUGUGUGAGAGUUCCCAUGGGAGGCUGGUCGUUGGCAGCAGCGUGUGAGCGCGCUUCAUGUUCUGCCGUUGGCUUCAAAUCAGCAGGUUUCCCAUGGACUUUCCAGCAGGUUUCCUUGGUGUGGCCGAGAUUACCGCAAUGACUGCAGUAAGGGCGUGGUUUUUCAGAUUUUGUGAGACCGCCACCUUGUGAGUUGCUGGCAUAGUUUGCUGCCAGUGCAGAUCCUUCUGUAGGAAUAACCUCCUUAGGUUCAGCCAUCAUGAGUUUCCAACGGCUCUCUUCCCACUUGACUUCAACAAAGGCAGUCCGGACUUCAGGGAGAGGAACUCGACCCAUGAUUCUUCCCUUAACAUUGUCCAGGGAGCGAUUUAGACCCAACAUGAAGCGAAUUGUUCUCUUGGAUUCAAGGAUCUUCUGACAAAAGGAAAAAUCAGUUGUGGAGACCUAGAGAUGCACAUCAUAUAGAUCAUGUUGCAUCCAGAAUUUGCUGAACUCGUCAUAGUAUUGAGUGACCGUCAUCUCUCCUUGUUUUAGGUCAUGGAGACGCAUCUCGAUGUCAAACAACUUAGUUGUAUUCGACUGAUCUGAAUAGGUAUGAUGAGCACUAUCCCAAAUUUCGUAGGCUAUUUUGUGAAGGAGGAAUUUUUCACCAAUCGAGGGGGUCAUGGAGUUGAGAAGCCAUGAUUGCACCAUGUUGUCCUCAAUUUCCCAGUGGUAACUUGAGGAUCGGUUUCAGCGGGAGGUUUGCUUUUGCCAGAGAUGUAGCCCUUCUUUCUUUUGCCGGAGAUGAAUUUGGGGACAAAGGAGGACUACUGGAGGUAAUUAUCACCAUUGAGGCGGUGAUUGGUGAUACUUUCAGUAGUUAUCCGCUCCGCACUUGGCUACCCAGCGUUUACCGUGGGCACGAUAACUGGUACACCAGAGGUGCGUCCUUCUCGGUCCUCUCGUACUAGGGAAAGGUCAUCUCAAUGCUUCCGAUGACCGAGUUGUUGGAGGCAGAGGGGAAGGGCUGGAGUUAUUGUUUUGGUGUUGAUGAGUUUCUGGAACACAAGAGGAGUUAGAUGAUGGUAUCUCAGAGUUGAUGGAUUGACUGGAAAGAUCGUCGUUCACCAUUGAUGAGAUUGAGAGAAAACUGGAAAAAAAUUUCUUGAGGUUUUCUGAUAGUUUUUCUUAGGACGGAAGGGAAACAAGAGAUAUGAAAUCAGAAUUUUGCCGAACCAGACUCUGAUACCAUGCAGAUUUGUGAAUGAAUGAUAACUUGAUAAAAAUCUGUAUGUAUAUGUCUUCCUUAUGUAGAAGAGGAGACUUGAGCUACAAGUUAGAGUUUUACUAAGUCUAGGAUUAUAAUACUAUCCACAUUAGGAAAAAAUUAUACAGAAAAAACUAACCUAAUAAUACUAAAAUUUUAAUACAAAUCCUAUUAUAAUUCUACCGUGAAUAUAAGAACAUGAUGAAAGAUAGAAAAAGGGGGAAUGAUAGCACCACUAGCAGUGUUGUGGAUGAAUUGGCUAGACGAAGAGGUAUAGAACUGGGAUGAAAUUGGGGGCUCUGGGUCUGAUUCAUAGAGAGAAGAAGUACAGUGAAUUUUGUAGGACGAAUUUGUAAGUUGCUCAUGUUAGUUAAGAAUACAUCACAUCAAUACGUAGAUAGACACAAAGAGAUGGAGGAUAGUGAGGAUUUUGACUUUUUAAGGGCUUUAGGAGGGAAGCAGGAUAGAUACGAUAGAUUGACACAGCAGAUAAGUGUUUGUUUGUAACUGGGGUUUAGUUUGUUUUGAUGCAGAUAUUGCGUUUGCUCGUCGUCUGUAUUUCCUAUCCUCUGCCUCGACCAGUUAAUUUGGUACCUAAUUUCCUUGAGUUUAGUGAUUUAGCCCUUCAGGAUGAAUAAUUUUUGUGGUGUGCUGCAAUCCAAUAGGUACCCUUUUCACUAGUGGCAGUGGGCUUGGUAGGUGGAGAAAAGUGAUGUAACAGUAUCUUGUAUGCUUACUGGCAUUCUGUUAGACUGUUUCGAAGUUGAACAUCAGUCAUGUUCUAGAGUUAAUAUAUAGAUGUUGAGAAACGUGUUAGCAUUCUGAUGUUGGAGUGGGACGAAUUUGAUUGGUUCAACUUGUUAUGUCAAUUUUCUUACCAACUCAAGUCAUUGAUUGAUUUCAGUGAGUUUACUUUGUUUGCUAAACACAAAGGAAGCAAGCAAAGCCCUCUACUUCUCAACCCCACCACCACCUGUCCAUCUCUAUUGGUCACAGAGUUUGUGGUUGUCCAUGCAUCUGUCUCUAAAUCAUCAGCAGCGGAGGCACUCUGGCUCAGCAUCUGUUUAAUUAAAACAUUUCAUGUGUUAAGAGUUAACUUUGAUUUGACAUACUCAAUAUUAUACUAGCAUUUUAUUUGGUUUGGCCGCACACAUAUAAUUUAUAUUUUUUAAAAAAUCUAAUUAUAAGGUACAAUCUUAAUAAACUAAGAGAACAUGAGUGUUUAUAAUCAACAAUUACCCAAUUUAAUGUUACAAUAUAUAAAACAAUGUAUUUUAAUUUACUUAGGUUUAGUAGGGCAACACCAUAUUAUAAUAAAAGUCAAUGUAUCAUUUUUUAUUUUUCAAAUAUUUAUAAUAUAUGAUAAAAUAUUAUAUAUAAAGUUUGAUANNNNNNNNNNNNNNNNNNNNNNNNNNNNNNNNNNNNNNNNNNNNUGUAAAAAUAUAAAAGGUGAUUGGACAUAAUUGAUAAUAAAUCCUGCAUAUAUUAUUGAUUAUUAAUUUUGAUAUUAAAUGAUUUUUUUAAAAUGAAAUAUAUCAAGAUUGAUGUCAUUAUACUUAUAACGAACAACAUUUUUAAAGGGAAUAAUGUGUUUAGAGUAAAACAUAAAAUAUUAUGAAGGAAAAACUAAUUAAAAAUGGAAAAAAAUGUGAGUGAGAGAGAGUUUAGAAAACUAAGAUAUUAAUAAAAAAAAUUAAGCAUCUUGGUUUAAGAGAGAAAAUGAUGAAAAGAGCUCCAUUUUUUAAAUAUGUUGAUGUGUUGUGAUACCUGGAGCUGUUUGUGGAGGAGCUUGAUGUAAAGAGAAGCCUGUUGUAGAACUGAGGCAGUAUCCGUCUACAUACAAAGUAAUUAAUAAGAAAAUUAAAUCAAGUCUCAUCAUUCAGAGUAGUUAACCAAGUUUAAUUUCAUCUUCUCCUUAAGGGCUAAGGCUGACUACUGACCUUGCCAUAUGGCGACACCAGCUUCUGCAGCGCUGUGAUUUUAUCGCUUAACUUCUGUUUCCUCCUUGCGGGCACUUCAAUCUGCUCGAAUAUACAUGAAAAGCCUGUUUAAUUACGACACAAACAACCAAUAUGACAAAUACUAUUCUCUACACUCUGAAACUGUGCUGACUGGACUGCUGAGAAAUUAAGUUGAAGGAAUAUUUUCAUAAAUUGUUAUCACUAACUCAUACCUUGAAUUCUUGGAUGUCGACAAACUGCUGUGUCUUUUCAGAAGUAGUGAUGGUGUUGGAUUUCUUCCUCUUCCCACCCUUGCAUUCUAUGCUGCUAACUUCAAUUCUUCGUUUCCUCACUUGUCCACUAUGCGAACAACUCUGUUCAUAUCCCGAUAAACGAAGCAUAAUAACUUCAUAUAUAGUCUUGAACAAUUACCAAUUACUUGAUCAAUCAAUCUAAGCACAGCCCUCACAUAAUUAUCUGCCACUGGAGUCGGAGCAGGACAAGAAACAUUCUUCAGCUGGUUCGAAAAGGUAUCACAGCUUGAAUACAAUCCAUACCCAGUGGGCCCUUCGAAAGGAGAAUCGUAGCUAGUAAUCAAAUUGCUGGAGUCCCAACAGAAGCUGUCAAGGUUCCUGAUAAGCAACAAGUAUGCAAAAUGGUACGAUGAUGAGUUGUAGAACUCAAAAAGUAAAUUGAUUCAAAUUUGUUAGAAAUGAUGAAAGCAACUGUGCAAAGCUUGCACGUACAGAAUUCUGGCGUUGUCCAUUGGCAUUGAGGUGUCCAAACUUGGCAUCACCAGUGCUUCAUUACUACUGCCCCCUGGAAACAUUAUCAAAAUUAAGAACUGGAUAUAUAUAUGAUCAGUGGAUUAAGUAGUUUUACCAAAGUUGUAAGAAAAGAUGCGACGAAGAAAGUGGAAUAACAGAAUCCCUCAUUUUGCCAACAAGACAAGAGAGGGAGAUCGAAGUUGUGUUUGUUGAUUUAAGGUUUGUUUGACAAAUGGGGUUUAGGGUAGCAGUACUGAAGUGGCCUCGCUGCUAACUCUCUAUUUAUUUUUGAGCUAAGCUGUGUUUGGUCAAGGUUAAUCCAUGUUUAAAAAUUAUAACCUUUUUUAAAAACGUUGAUUUUGUCUUUGAGCAAGACCGUAAGGGAUCACAAGGAGACAACGGACGGCUGCAUGAGCUUUAACUAGUGUCUCAAACUUGUUUUUUCUCUUUCACUUAGUCAAAUAUGACAUCCCUUUCGUCUAAUGUUUAACUUGGAUGCUUAUGAUUAGUUGAUAACAUGUUGCUAUUAAUCAUUUUGACUAAUUAUUUGUUUUUUUUACCGUGUCUCCAAGCCGAAUACUCUGUUUUUCUUUUGUUUUUAUUGCAUCAUUUGGGUCUUUACCACUCUUACUGAUCUAGGCUCCAUAGAGUAGAUCAGUAACAUUGGACAUUUUUGAACUUUGUCAAUAAACACAUAUGCACCCGAUCAACCAAUGUUUGUAACCUUAUACGUAUAAAAGACCGUCACGCAAAAUGUUUUUAUACCAAAACCUUAUGAAAUGACUCAUAUUUCUACAUAUGAUUCAUCUUUUAAUAAUUUAACCGCCCAUUAUGUGGCACUCGUAAUUUUAUUAUCAACCUCUUAAGAUAUAUAUCUAGAUUUUACUAUUUACUGGCUGAAAAUUUUUUCGACUAGCUAUCAAAGAAAAAGAAAAUCAGCAAAAUAACUAACUAUGAAAAAGCAAGUUGCAAACUGAUUGCAAAGCUGCCACAUGAAGAAUUGUAUAGAUUGGUGCACAGGAUACAAAUGAGGUGGAUGCAUUUUAUUCAUAUCUGAAUCAAUCUAAGUCGAGAUCCAACUACUUCCCUCCAUACUUUUUUUUUGGUCUGCUCCAUCAUUAAUAUUAGUUCUUAGAACUUUUCGUUUGAUGGUGAUUAUUUCCCAAAAAUGGACCUUAUUGUCUUCAUGUAUAAUUAAUUUCAUUAGUUUCAAACCAAUUAAUUAUAUAUAUCUAGUUUGUCGUCGGCUGAUGUUUAAAAGAAGAGUUGGAAAGGGUUUCGUUUGUCUUUCCCUUGCAACUUAUUUGGUGACAGAAUCAUAUCUACUAAUUAAGGUCUAACACUAAUAAACAAAGCUUAAUCAUUUGCUUCAGGGUUUGACUGGGGGUGCCAGGUCAUGUAUGGCUAUUAGCUCAGCAUAGGUUUUCAAGUAAUAAAAUUUAGGAAUCCUGUCCUGGUUCAAGUUAACGUAAUGCUCAGAAGCUCUAACAUGAUGACAAGUGGCCUCCAUACACAAUCCUACGUACUAUGAAUUUCAUCAAUUCCUUAUUCAUACAACUCUCACUAGCUACUACAUUAACUAUGUCAUCUGUAUUCAUAUAAUAAAACACUUACAAAGUCAAACAUUGCAUGAUUAAUUAUCGACCUCUGAUCUACUAGCUACUAGUUUAUUAUCGUUAACUCAUCUGCAGUCCAAUAUCAGUAUAUCACAAUAACUUUUGGGUUUUAAGUUUUUUAUUUCAUAAGUAAUCAAACAUAUAACUUGGGUUUAUGGAUGCAUAAAUCAUUGUAUCUUGUAUAUCAAAUUCACAUAAACGGUAGUUAAUUUUGCGACACAUAAUUGAAUCGGCAGAAUAUAAAACCAAUUUCGAUCGGACCAUCAAAUUCUAAAUCUUUAAUUUCAUCCGUUUAAUUUCAGUCAGGUUUUAAAAACUAUGCCAGUGUCUAUUAAUAUGGGAUGGAGUGACUGGGCCUCCUGGAAACAAAUAUGAGACAUCGUCUGGGCUAGACUGCCUAAAAGAUAUGGGCCCUUACGGAUGCCAAACUGAGGAGAUUCGUUAGAACUCAAAUAAACAUCAGGCCCAAAAGGCCGCACUGUCGUCCCAUCUAAUACUAUAUAUCCUUAGGGUUUUCCUCCAUAGCGCAUCCUCUCAAAACCCUUACUCUCCAUUGCCGAAGUCGCUGGUGGCGCCACAGAUCUCCUCUGCAUCGUCUAUUCUGGUGCGUACACCCUCCAACUGAAAUCUCUCUUCAUCCCUGAGCUUUGUUCUACUGAUUGUUAUUCCGUCGACUAGUUCGGUGACCUUAUGUUCUGAUAUUUUUUCUUUAAUGUGGUCAGUUACUUGUAAUUGGGAUUUCUAUUCGGUAUUUCAAAUUUCAAUUAUAUUUUUUGAUCGAGAAAGGUCUUUGAUUUUAGUUUGGCUGAAAUGGGAUUCAAAAUUCCUUAAUCAUGUAUAACCUCACCUAUAGAUUACUGAAGUUAAGCAUCAAAUGUCUUCGUCGUUGAGUUUUUGUUUCUUCGAGACCCGAUUUAAGGACCUGGAUCACUAUCAAAAUGCUUGCUGCGUGGUGAUCUUUCUGCACAAAUGAGAUACUAGAUUGCUUCUGUAAUCUGAACUGCCAAAUCGUAAUCCCAACUAUGGCUUUUUAGUGUGCUACAGACUUACUGUAGAUAGGAAAAAUGAAAGAAUAUUAAUUGAGCUUGUGUAUCUUAUAAAUACGUUAUGGGUGUUGACAAUUUGGUUUUGUUACAUUUCUGUAGCAGCAACAAUGGUGAGGAUUAGCGUUUUGAACGAUGCUCUUAAGAGCAUGUACAAUGCAGAGAAGCGUGGUAAGCGCCAGGUCAUGAUCAGGCCUUCCUCGAAAGUGAUCAUCAAGUUUCUUAUUGUGAUGCAGAAACAUGGUAUGUGCCCUGUGUUUUCCUCUUUCUGCUAUUGGUUGAUUUUGUGGUACGUUGCUUAAUAUGGCUUCCUUUUUUUCUGAAUGCAGGAUACAUCGGUGAGUUUGAAUAUGUUGAUGACCACAGAGCUGGCAAAAUUGUUGUGGAGUUGAAUGGAAGGCUGAACAAGUGUGGUGUCAUCAGCCCAAGAUUUGACAUUGGUGUCAAGGAGAUCGAAGGCUGGACUGCUCGCUUGCUUCCAUCUAGACAGGUUGGUCCAUUGCAUUCAUGCUUUGCUUCUAUUCUUAAUUCUGCUAAAUAUUGGUAGCAUUAGUGUGCAAGGAUUGGGACUAUUGUAAUUUUGGCAAGAGUUGUGAAUAUGGUUGAACUCGAUGAUGUGCAGUUUGGAUUCAUUGUGUUGACAACUUCUGCUGGCAUUAUGGACCACGAGGAAGCAAGAAGGAAGAAUGUUGGAGGAAAAGUGCUUGGCUUCUUCUACUAAGGUUGUUGGCUUGAGAUUUGUCUCCUUGAUUAGUUGAAUCAUGGUUACGAGGAGUUUUGGCCUGUAAUUUUGAAUAUGCUUUCUACCCCAUGGAUGCUUUGUAAUGGAUACCUUUGUAAGGUUUAGUCUUUCUGAAACUGUGUUUUUGACACUGAGUGGCAUCCAUCUCCGUCAAGUUGAGAUGACAAAUGAUUUUUGUGCUUCACAUCAAGUCCCGGUUGUAUUUGGUAACGAUCCCAAAAUGAAAUUAUGGCAUCCUCUUUCCCGAAGGAAUUGUGCAGGAAUUCUGGCGGAAUUGAACAAUUGGUUGUUUUCCUUCACAAGAUGGCAUUCCAAGUUUCCAGCCCUCACCUCUUAUUUCUUUUAUUUUUCUUUGUUUCCAGCCCUCACCUCCCUCAUUCCCCUAAUCUCAUUUCCCAGGAGAAUUCAAAAUUCCUGAUUCAAUAAUGCUUCAAUGAAUCAACGGUGAUGUUAAUGAAAUUGCUACCAUCUUCCGCUAUUGUCGGAAUUGAGACAUGCAAUUGUCUCACCUCCAAGAAAAUUUGGGACGGAUCAUGCGAUUGCAAUACUUCUCCAAACAAAUUUGGGACUGCGUCAUACGAUUGGAAUACAUCGUCCAAAUCUUCCUGUCUUAUCCACUCAAAUAGUUGUAUGAAAUUGAGGGGAAAAGUAGAUAACAGGUCGGAAAAAAAAAGCUCAAUCGGCUGCACCACCACCUCUGAUCAACAUAGUCUCGAUCGCUGCCAUCUACUUAAUUUCAUAGGGUAAAUUUAGUAAAUUUAUAGAUGUGAAGCAUUUGGGAAGAUACAUAAUCACAAAUUAGGCUCGAAAUGGGUUGGAAAAUGGGUUAGUAGUUGAGUUGUGUACUAAAUGGUGAACUUGCAGGAAAAUAAUAGUAAGAAUGUGAGGAGGAUUGCCAUCUUGCCGCCAUUAGCUUGCUUUUGUUGUUCUUUCUGUUGCUCCUCCUCCCAAGUCCUGAAAUGUUUUAUGAGAUCUUGAUUAUAAUUAACGGCUAAUCUAUAGCUUAAGUAUUUAUAAUUAUGAACUACUGGCCAGAUUCAUUGGUCCAAUGCCGGCAGAAUUAGGGUAAUAAUAAUGCUGAUAAAUGCAUGUACUGAAUACUGAUGAUUUUAUCGUAUAUUCAUUCAAAGUAUUGGAUGCCACGGUUGGGCGCCAACAAAUUAGAAGACCAAACUGCUUAUAUAGUAGCAAAAAAGACGCUUACAUAUCUUUCGAAUCAUGUAAAGGCAAACCUCACCAUAUAAAUAUAUAUGCUCAGGAUUCUUUUAUUUUGCCUCCUCUUGUGGGGAGAUACUUAACAUCAAUACUCUCCAUAUCAAUCCCGUUAUUACUUGCUAUAUAUCGCGACCAAGAAAAAUUAGCAACAUCAGCUGCCGGCCAUAACUGGAAAGAGGCACUAUAACUUUUUUCAUAACACAGCAAAAAAAGAACUAUCAAGUAUAAACAUGUAACUGAACGUAACUUGAAACCGCGCCGUGUAAAUAGUAAAUACACGACACAACAGUUUAUGUUUCUGCAACAAGUUUAGUUCCAAACUGUAUGGGUAUGGCUGAAACUAUAGACUGAAAUAUCGAAAUUUUCAUGCAUGCUGCAAUUUCUGUUGAGGGUGUGGUGAGGUGUUGUCGUAGGAACUACACGGCUAAACCUGUACAGUUUUGUCAUAUUUUCAUAUCGGAAACCCACACCCACCCACCUGCAUCAACCAUGUCCAAAUGAUUCGUUCAAGUCCAGCGGUUGGACCAACCCAAAUCCGAGUCGGUUUGAUUAAGCUAGCCCAGAUCACAAAAGGGUUGCGAUGGACCGUUUAGAAGCAAAUAGCAGUAGAAAUCUUAUUCAAAUCUAUGAACCAAUAAAUACCUCUUUCAUGCCUUAACAGUGAGGGGAAAAGAACUUCCCUUUAAUGUAGUUUCAACAAAGAUUUAUCCCGGGGAAAAACAAAAGCAAAGAUAGUGGAUUGUUAUCUUCAGCACAGUGAAGGAACAACAACAGCACACAACAAUACCAUAAGUGGUUUCGUUACGAUUAAAAAGACAAGAACACAUUUAUGCCAAAGGUACGUAGUUGCCCUUAACUCAUGAUGUUUUCUCCACACCACAAAUCAAGCACUUCUCUUCACCAUCUUAAUUUCUUGAUGCACAGCACUACUGCAGCAUCAGCAGCAGCUUCAAUCCUGGAGACGGAGGUGAAAGAUGAAGAGUGAUGACCCUCCAGGGGCUUUGAAGGGUGAGAGAGGGAAAAAUAGGUGACAAUGGGUUGUGUGUUUUUGUAGGGUUAGGGAAAAGGGAGGAACUGAGGAAGUGGAAGUGGGUAUGGAGUCCAUGGAAUAGAGGAUCUUCUCAGCAUAUCCCUUCUCUGAUCACUUUUUAGUGAAAGUCUCUGUUUGCUUUUUGAUGGUUUUAUAAAUUUCCCCUGUUUCUCUGUGGAAUCGAAUUGGAAUCUACCUUAAGAUAUUCCAUUUUAGUUAAGUUAGUAGGUCACUGACUGACUGACUGGUGGGGUGUUGUAUAUUUGACACAUUUCCCAACUACUUCUUGCUACUGCACUCUGUUCCUG
rnacentral:lncRNA from 1 species